rnacentral:rRNA from 1 species
AACGAACGCUGGCGGCAUGCCAAACACAUGCAAGUCGAACGAGACCUUCGGGUCUAGUGGCGCACGGGUGCGUAACGCGUGGGAAUCUGCCCUUGGGUUCGGAAUAACAGUUGGAAACGACUGCUAAUACCGGAUGAUGACGUAAGUCCAAAGAUUUAUCGCCCAAGGAUGAGCCCGCGUAGGAUUAGCUAGUUGGUGAGGUAAAGGCUCACCAAGGCGACGAUCCUUAGCUGGUCUGAGAGGAUGAUCAGCCACACUGGGACUGAGACACGGCCCAGACUCCUACGGGAGGCAGCAGUGGGGAAUAUUGGACAAUGGGCGAAAGCCUGAUCCAGCAAUGCCGCGUGAGUGAUGAAGGCCUUAGGGUUGUAAAGCUCUUUUACCCGGGAUGAUAAUGACAGUACCGGGAGAAUAAGCUCCGGCUAACUCCGUG